rnacentral:rRNA from 1 species
GUGCCAGCCGCCGCGGUAAUACCGGCAGCACAAGUGAUGGCCGAUAUUAUUGGGCCUAAAGCGUCCGUAGCCGGCCGGACAAGUCCGUUGGGAAAUCCACGUGCUUAACACGUGGGCGACCGGUGGAAACUGCGUGGCUUGGGACCGGAAGACCCGAAGGGUACGUCUUGGGUAGGAGUGAAAUCCCGUAAUCCUGGACGGCCCGCCGAUGGCGAAAGCACUUCGGGAAGACGGAUCCGACGGUGAGGAACGAAAGCCAGGGUCUCGAACCGGAUUAGAUACCCGAGUAGUCC